GCUGCUAUAAUAUUUCUUGGUUUUCGAUCUAGUGAUCAUGAUUCGACUUUAUUUUUCAAGGUCGCCUCACAUGGUUGUGUUUUACUUUAUAUAUUGAUGAUAUGAUUAUUACAUGUGAUGAUGUUGUUCAGAUUGAUAAUUUGAAAUUACAAUCAGCUAAGUAGUUUAAAAUAAAGGAUUAGUCUUUGCUACUUCUUGGGGAUUAAAGUUGUCUACUUUCCUAGAGGCUAUCUUUCCUCUCAAUCAAAGUGCAUUUCCAACAUCCUUCAACAAAUC
rnacentral:lncRNA from 1 species